UACGUAGGGGGCAAGCGUUGUCCGGAAUCAUUGGGCGUAAAGAGCGUGUAGGCGGCCCGAUAAGUCCGCUGUGAAAGUCCAGGGCUCAACCCUGGGAUGCCGGUGGAUACUGUCGGGCUCGAGUCCGGAAGAGGAGUGUGGAAUUCCUGGUGUAGCGGUGAAAUGCGCAGAUAUCAGGAAGAACACCCGUGGCUAAGGCGGCUCUCUAGUACGGUACUGACGCUGAGACGCGAAAGCGUGGGGAGCGAACAGG
rnacentral:rRNA from 1 species